UGCGUAGGCGGAUUAAUAAGUCAGUGGUGAAAUCUCUCGGCUCAACCGGGAAACUGCCAUUGAUACUGUUAAUCUUGAGUUCGGUUGAGGUAGGCGGAAUGUGUAAUGUAGCGGUGAAAUGCUUAGAUAUUACACAGAACACCAAUUGCGUAGGCAGCUUACUAGACCGACACUGACGCUGAGGCACGAAAGCGUGGGUAGCGAACAGGAUUAGAUACCCUGUAGUCC
rnacentral:rRNA from 1 species